UGGCCAGUGAUGAUGAGCAUUUUUUCAUGUGUUUUUUGGCUGCACAGAUGUCUUCUUUUGAGAAGUGUCUGUUCAUAUCCUUCGCCCACAUUUUGAUGGGGUUGUUUGCUUUUUUCUUGUAAAUUUGUUGGAGUUCUUUGUAGAUUCCGGAUAUUAGCCCUUUGUCGGAUGAGUAGAUUGCAAACAUUUUCUCCCAUUCUGUAGGUUGCAUGUUCACUCUGAUGGUAGUUUCUUUUGCUGUGCAGAAGCUCUUUAGUUUAAUUAGAUCCCAUUUGUCAAUUUUGGCUUUAGUUGCCAUUGCUUUUGGUGUUUUAGAUAUGAAGUCCUUGCCCAUGCCUAUGUCCUGAAUGGUAUUGCCUAGGUUUUCUUCUAGGGUUUUUAUGGUUUUAGGUCUAACAUUCAAGUCUUUAAUCCAUCUUGAAUGAAUUUUUGUAUAAGGUGUAAGAUCCAGUUUCAGCUUUCUACAUAUGGCUAGCCAGUUUUCCCAGCACCAUUUAUUAAAUAGGGAAUCCUUUCCCCAUUGCUUGUUUUUGUCAGGUUUGUCAAAGAUCAGAUGGUUGUAGAUGUGUGGUAUUAUUUCUGAGGUCUCUGUUCUGUUCCAUUGAUCUAUAUCUCUGUUUUGGUACCAGUACAAUGCUGUUUUGGUUACUGUAGCCUUGUAGUAUAGUUUGAAGUCAGGUAACAUGAUGCCUCCAGCUUUGUUCUUUUUGCUUAGGAUUGACUUGGCAGUGCAGGCUCUUUUUUUGGUUCCAUAUGAACUUUAAAGUAGUUUUUUCU
rnacentral:lncRNA from 1 species